GACGAACGCUGGCGGCGUGCUUAACACAUGCAAGUCGAACGAAGUGGCGAACGGGUGAGUAACGCGUAAUCAACCUGCCCUUCAGAGGGGGACAACAGUUGGAAACGACUGCUAAUACCGCAUACUGAAGGAGGGGAUUGCGUCUGAUUAGCUAGUUGGAGGGGUAACGGCCCAACAAGGCGAUGAUCAGUAGCCGGGCUGGGAGGAUGAACGGCCACAUUGGGACUGGGAAACCGGCCAGAAUCCUACGGGGGGCAGCAGUGGGGAAUCUUCCGCAAAGGAGGGAAGUCUGACGGAGGAACGCCGCGUGAGUGGUGACAGGCUUCGGGUUGUAAAGCUCUGUUAAGCGGGACGCGGUACCGGAAUAGAAAGCCACGGCUAACUACGUGCCAGCAGCCGCGGUAAUUC
rnacentral:rRNA from 1 species